AACCCAGGACACGCCCAGCCCCAUUAAUUGCUUUUUCUUCGUUUUGCUAAUUUUCGAGGGUUAUAAUCAAUUCCGUGUUUCCUUGUAAAUAAAUUCACGAACCUAGACCUCUUAUCAAACCAAAUGCCGUAUACCGAGUUCUGAAAGUUUAAAAGCUUCCAAACGAGAAAUCAAGAGUUUAUAACCAGAAAGUUAUAUGAAUGCUAUAUAAACUACAUACAACCUCAAGCUACCCCGACAGCUUCCCACACUUUCUUCUCUCAAAACAACCUGCACAAAUCGCCGGAGAAGAUAGUCGCGGAGACGUCAGAGUUUACGACGGGAAUUACCCGUAGCCAUUCGGUACACUUCGCCUGGUUUUUUUUUCUCACUCUCUAGAUUUACGCCGGAGAAACGAAGCUCGCCGGGACAAAGGAAUUCGUCGGAAUCCCUGUAACGUCGUCGGAAGAUCAGAGAAGACGACCGGAAUGCACGACGGACUCUAGCUCGAAUCGUCACGUGGAUAAACCGUACGUUCGUUCUUCUGGAAUUAUCCACCUUUACUCGUGCGUUAUUUCGAGGGAUUCUUAUACGCAACCAAUGUGGAUGUUGACGAUACAUGGAAUCUAGUAGGAUGCUUAGAUACACACUU